ACCGCAUGGUUCAAAAGUGAAAGACGGUCUUGCUGUCACUUAUAGAUGGAUCCGCGCUGCAUUAGCUAGUUGGUAAGGUAACGGCUUACCAAGGCAACGAUGCAUAGCCGACCUGAGAGGGUGAUCGGCCACACUGGAACUGAGACACGGUCCAGACUCCUACGGGAGGCAGCAGUAGGGAAUCUUCCGCAAUGGGCGAAAGCCUGACGGAGCAACGCCGCGUGAGUGAUGAAGGUCUUCGGAUCGUAAAACUCUGUUAUUAGGGAAGAACAUAUGUGUAAGUAACUGUGCACAUCUUGACGGUACCUAAUCAGAAAGCCACGGCUAACUACGUGCCAGCAGCCGCGGUAAUACGUAGGUGGCAAGCGUUAUCCGGAAUUAUUGGGCGUAAAGCGCGCGUAGGCGGUUUUUUAAGUCUGAUGUGAAAGCCCACGGCUCAACCGUGGAGGGUCAUUGGAAACUGGAAAACUUGAGUGCAGAAGAGGAAAGUGGAAUUCCAUGUGUAGCGGUGAAAUGCGCAGAGAUAUGGAGGAACACCAGUGGCGAAGGCGACUUUCUGGUCUGUAACUGACGCUGAUGUGCGAAAGCGUGGGGAUCAAACAGGAUUAGAUACCCUGGUAGUCCACGCCGUAAACGAUGAGUGCUAAGUGUUAGGGGGUUUCCGCCCCUUAGUGCUGCAGCUAACGCAUUAAGCACUCCGCCUGGGGAGUACGACCGCAAGGUUGAAACUCAAAGGAAUUGACGGGGACCCGCACAAGCGGUGGAGCAUGUGGUUUAAUUCGAAGCAACGCGAAGAACCUUACCAAAUCUUGACAUCCUUUGACAACUCUAGAGAUAGAGCUUUCCCCUUCGGGGGACAAAGUGACAGGUGGUGCAUGGUUGUCGUCAGCUCGUGUCGUGAGAUGUUGGGUUAAGUCCCGCAACGAGCGCAACCCUUAAGCUUAGUUGCCAUCAUUAAGUUGGGCACUCUAAGUUGACUGCCGGUGACAAACCGGAGGAAGGUGGGGAUGACGUCAAAUCAUCAUGCCCCUUAUGAUUUGGGCUACACACGUGCUACAAUGGACAAUACAAAGGGCAGCGAAACCGUGAGGUCAAGCAAAUCCCAUAAAGUUGUUCUCAGUUCGGAUUGUAGUCUGCAACUCGACUACAUGAAGCUGGAAUCGCUAGUAAUCGUAGAUCAGCAUGCUACGGUGAAUACGUUCCCGGGUCUUGUACACACCGCCCGUCACACCACGAGAGUUUGUAACACCCGAAGCCGGUGGAGUAACCUUUUAGGAGCUAGCCGUCGAAGGUGGGACAAAUGAUUGGGGUGAAGUCGUAACAAGGUAGCCGUAUCGGAAGGUGCGGCUGGAUCACCU
rnacentral:rRNA from 1 species